AGUGAACGCUGGCGGCAGGCCUAAUACAUGCAAGUCGAACGGCAGCACAGCAGAGCUUGCUCUGUGGGUGGCGAGUGGCGGACGGGUGAGGAAUACAUGGGAAUUUGCCCAGUCGUGGGGGAUAACGUAUGGAAACGUACGCUAAUACCGCAUGCGCCCUAAGGGGGAAAGCCGGGGACCGCAAGGCCUGGCGCGAUUGGAUGAGCCCAUGUUCGAUUAGCUAGUUGGCGGGGUAAAGGCCCACCAAGGCGACGAUCGAUAGCUGGUCUGAGAGGAUGAUCAGCCACACUGGAACUGAGACACGGUCCAGACUCCUACGGGAGGCAGCAGUAGGGAAUAUUGGACAAUGGGGGCAACCCUGAUCCAGCCAUGCCGCGUGAGUGAAGAAGGCCCUCGGGUUGUAAAGCUCUUUUGUCCGGAAAGAAAAGCAUCUGGUUAAUACCCGGGUGUUCUGACGGUACCGGAAGAAUAAGCACCGGCUAACUUCGUGCC
rnacentral:rRNA from 1 species